CUACGGAGGGUCCAAGCGUUAUCCGGAAUCAUUGGGUUUAAAGGGUGCGCAGGCGGUUUAUUAAGUCAGUGGUGAAAUCUCGGGGCUCAACUCCGAAACUGCCAUUGAUACUGAUAAACUUGAGUUCAGUUGGAGUAGGCGGAAUGUGUAGUGUAGCGGUGAAAUGCUUAGAUAUUACACAGAACACCGAUAGCGAAGGCAGCUUACUAAACUGAUACUGACGCUGAGGCACGAAAGCGUGGGGAGCGAACAGGAUUAGAAACCCCAGUAGUCC
rnacentral:rRNA from 1 species